AUGCAGACUAGGCGGGCAGCUAGCCCCUGCCUCUAUCGCAAAUGGGCUAUACGGCGAGCUGAAGCCCGGAGGCGGCUUUACUGCAGCGGCAUAGUCCUGUGCUGUACAGAGAAGCCUUGUCCUUUCAGACUCAUGUUUUCAGGAACCGUGUCAGGCUGGGAACAGAGCAGCACUAACUGUUUACAUGGGUGUUGAAGGGGUAGCAGGGUGGAGGAAGGCUCAGGGAAGCUGUGCCAUUGUAGUAAUUCCCACUCUGGGUGGUCUGCUU
rnacentral:SRP_RNA from 1 species